GAGUUUGCUCCUGGCUCAGGAUGAACGCUGGCGGCGUGCCUAACACAUGCAAGUCGAGCGAGGACUUCGGUCCUAGCGGCGGACGGGUGAGUAACGCGUGGGUAAUCUGCCUCAUACACACGGAUAACAUACCGAAAGGUAUGCUAAUACGAGAUAAUAUUAAGAAAUGGCAUCAUUUCUUAAUCAAAGAAUUUCGGUAUGAGAUGAGCCCGCGUCCCAUUAGCUAGUUGGUAAGGUAAAAGCUUACCAAGGCGACGAUGGGUAGCCGACCUGAGAGGGUGAUCGGCCACACUGGAACUGAGACACGGUCCAGACUCCUACGGGAGGCAGCAGUGGGGAAUAUUGCACAAUGGGCGAAAGCCUGAUGCAGCAACGCCGCGUGAGCGAUGAAGGUCUUCGGAUCGUAAAGCUCUGUCCUCAAGGAAGAAUUUUGACGGUACUUGAGGAGGAAGCCCCGGCUAACUACGUGCCAGCAGCCGCGGUAAUACGUAGGGGGCUAGCGUUAUCCGGAAUUAUUGGGCGUAAAGGGUGCGUAGGCGGUCCUACAAGUCAGAGGUGAAAGGCUACGGCUCAACCGUAGUAAGCCUUUGAAACUGUAGGACUUGAGUGCAGGAGAGGAGAGUGGAAUUCCCAGUGUAGCGGUGAAAUGCGUAGAUAUUGGGAGGAACACCAGUUGCGAAGGCGGCUCUCUGGACUGUAACUGACGCUGAGGCACGAAAGCGUGGGGAGCGAACAGGAUUAGAUACCCUGGUAGUCCACGCCGUAAACGAUGAGUACUAGGUGUCGGGGGUUACCCCCCUCGGUGCCGCAGCUAACGCAUUAAGUACUCCGCCUGGGAAGUACGCUCGCAAGAGUGAAACUCAAAGGAAUUGACGG
rnacentral:rRNA from 1 species